UGGAGAGUUUGAUCCUGGCUCAGAGCGAACGUUGGCGAUGCGUCUUAAGCAUGCAAGUCGAGCGGGCUUAUUCGGGCAACUGGAUAAGUUAGCGGCGAACUGGUGAGUAACACGUAGGUAAUCUGCCGUAGAGCGGGGGAUAACCCAUGGAAACAUGGACUAAUACCGCAUAUACUCUUGCUACACAAGUAGAGUAGAGGAAAGGAGUAAUCCGCUUUACGAUGAGCCUGCGGCCUAUUAGCCUGUUGGUGGGGUAAUGGCCUACCAAAGCUACGAUAGGUAGCCGACCUGAGAGGGUGACCGGCCACAUUGGGACUGAGAUACGGCCCAGACUCCUACGGGAGGCAGCAGCUGAGAAUCUUCCACAAUGGACGAAAGUCUGAUGGAGCGACAUCGCGUGAGGGAUGAAGGCCUUCGGGUUGUAAACCUCGGAAAUUAUCGAAGAAUGAGUGACAGUAGAUAAUGUAAGCCUCGGCUAACUACGUGCCAGCAGCCGCGGUAA
rnacentral:rRNA from 1 species